rnacentral:rRNA from 1 species
AACGCUAGCUACAGGCUUAACACAUGCAAGUCGAGGGGCAUCAGGAAGAAAGCUUGCUUUCUUUGCUGGCGACCGGCGCACGGGUGAGUAACACGUAUCCAACCUGCCCUUUACUCGGGGAUAGCCUUUCGAAAGAAAGAUUAAUACCCGAUAGCAUAAUGAUUCCGCAUGGUUUCAUUAUUAAAGGAUUCCGGUAAAGGAUGGGGAUGCGUUCCAUUAGGUUGUUGGUGAGGUAACGGCUCACCAAGCCUUCGAUGGAUAGGGGUUCUGAGAGGAAGGUCCCCCACAUUGGAACUGAGACACGGUCCAAACUCCUACGGGAGGCAGCAGUGAGGAAUAUUGGUCAAUGGGCGUUAGCCUGAACCAGCCAAGUAGCGUGAAGGAUGAAGGCUCUAUGGGUCGUAAACUUCUUUUAUAUAAGAAUAAAGUGCAGUAUGUAUACUGUUUUGUAUGUAUUAUAUGAAUAAGGAUCGGCUAACUCCGUGCCAGCAGCCGCGGUAAUACGGAGGAUCCGAGCGUUAUCCGGAUUUAUUGGGUUUAAAGGGAGCGUAGGUGGACUGGUAAGUCAGUUGUGAAAGUUUGCGGCUCAACCGUAAAAUUGCAGUUGAUACUGUCAGUCUUGAGUACAGUAAAGGUGGGCGGAAUUCGUGGUGUAGCGGUGAAAUGCUUAGAUAUCACGAAGAACUCCGAUUG